rnacentral:misc_RNA from 1 species
CCUUAAAGAACCUGCCUUUGUAGUGCUCACACAGAUUGUCUGAUGAACGUAAAGAAGCAAGGCGUCUUGCGAUUGAGACUUCAGUGUCCCCUUCGUCUAGAGGCCCAGGACACCGCCCUUUCACGGCGGUAACAGGGGUUCGAAUCCCCUAGGGGACGCCACUUGCUGGUUCGUGAGUGAAAGACGCGUGCCGAUGUAUCUCAAAACUCAUCUUCGGGUGAUGUUUGAGAUAUUUGCUCUUUAAAAAUCUGGAUCAAGCUGAAAAUUGAAACGACACACAGUCAAUGUGUGUUCGAGUCUCUCAAAUUUUCGCAAUCAGAAGUGAAACAUCUUCGGGUUGUGA